rnacentral:rRNA from 1 species
UACUAGAGUAGCACUCGCAUAUCAAUAAGCGGAGGAAAAGAAACUAACAAGGAUUCCCUCAGUAACGGCGAGUGAAGCGGGAAGAGCUCAAAUUUGAAAUCUUGAAAGGUCACCUUUCACGAAUUGUAGUUUAAAGAAGUGUUUUCUGUUACGAUCGUAAUAUAAGUUCUUUGGAAUAGGACAUCACAGAGGGUGAGAAUCCCGUCUAUGAUUGCGAUUUGUAGCUUUGUGAUACACUUUCAAAGAGUCGGGUUGUUUGGGAAUGCAGCCCAAAACGGGAGGUAAAUUUCUUCUAAGGCUAAAUAUUGGCGAGAGACCGAUAGCGAACAAGUACCGUGAGGGAAAGAUGAAAAGAACUUUGAAAAGAGAGUUAAAUAGUACGUGAAAUUGUCAAAAGGGAAGCGUUUAACACCAGUGUUGUUUUCUGAAAAUCAACCUCUGUUAGCUUUAUGCAUGUUUGUUUAGACCUAAUCAGCUAUCUUUCAUGUUCUAUUGUUUGCAGUGGUGCACUUUUCAGUUUACAGGUCAACAUCAGUUUUUUUUACCGUAAAAAAGUUAAAGAAAGGUAGCUCAUGGCUCCGGUCGUGAGUGUUAUAGUCUUUUUCCUAUGCGGUAGGAGAGACUGAGGUCUGCAGUGUAGGCUAUUUGGCUAGAUACUCAGGUGCUAUGUGAUACCAUUUCAUAAACAACUUGUUGAUUAUGUUUUGUCUAUUGCAUACUCGCUUGUACUAUCAUACCUACGCUUAGGAUGUUGAGUAGCGACAUACGCAC